UUUUAUAAAACUACCUAAUAUGUGUUGUGCAUGUAUUAUUAUUCAAGUAUUUAGGAUGAGAUUAAGAUAACCCAUAUUUUGUAAAACUGCAUACACAACACAUGAUAAAACUAUCUAUUUUUGUAAUAUAAAAAAUAAUAGUAAAUGAGUCCUUGGUUUUGAAAGGAGAGUGAAAGUGCAUGGGAAUAGGCAUGAGGGAUAGCUCAUGUUAAUCCAACUCGGAGCACGUAACCGCCGACAAACACCUUCCAAGUACACACGCUACCUCAAUAUAUAAAGGCGUUCAUUCCGUAACAUUUCGCUGUUUGUGGAUCAUCAUCAGUGAUCACCUUCUUCUCAUACACAGUUACUCUCUCUCUCUCUCUCCGCGUAUGACACUUUUAUUGAAAGAAACUGUGAUUUGUUGUCAGUUUAUUUUCUCUCUGCAACUAUCUUCCUCUCUCACAGAUCAUGGAGAGGCCUAUGCUCAGUAGAGAAAACAGUGGAGCUGUGAAUCGCAGGAGAGAGCGAUUUAAUCGGUCUCAUGCUAUUGCUUACGGCUCGCCUUAUGAAAAGGCUGCCGCACUGGUUGAUCUGGCUGAAGAUGGAAUUGGUUUACCUGAACAAAUUCUUGAACAAUCAAACUUCCAGAAUGCUGCAAAAUUCUACUUCAUAUUUACUCGGCUUGAUUUCAUUUGGUGCCUUAAUUAUUUUGCAUUAAUAAUCCUAAAUUUCUUAGAGAAACCUUUGUGGUGUACCAACUAUUUCACGUAUUCUUGCAACAAUAGGGAGUACUUUUAUCUUGGGCAGUUGCCCUACUUAACUGGUGCGGUGUCUCUUAUAUAUGAGGCCAUAACUCUCAUCAUACUUAUGGUACAUACUUUCUUUCCAUUAUCAUUUGAAGGGUACCAUCUCUAUGGGAAAAGUCCCCUUAAUCGAGUAAAGGUGGCUUGCUUGUUAAUUUUGGUUGCUGAUAUAUUGGUUUAUGCCCUGUACUUGUCUCCCAAAGCCUAUGAUUUUCUUCCUUUUAGAAUCGCACCAUAUAUCAGAGUCGUGUUUUUCAUGCUGAACUUUAGGGAAUUACGAGCAACCAUCAUAAUCCUGGCUGGAAUGCUUGUCACGUACUUAAAUGUCUUGGCUUUAGGUCUAUUGUUUCUUCUGUUUUCCAGUUGGUUAGCCUUUGUAAUGUUCGAAGAUACCCAACAGGGAAAGACAGUAUUUACUUCGUAUGGCACUACUCUGUAUCAGAUGUUUGUUCUGUUCACCACAUCCAACAAUCCAGAUGUUUGGAUUCCUGCAUACAAGGCUUCGCGUUGGCAUUGUCUGUUUUUUGUUCUCUAUGUGCUAUUGGGGGUUUACUUUGUCACCAACUUGAUCCUUGCUGUCGUAUAUGACAGCUUCAAAAGUCAGCUUGUGAAACAAGUUUCUGAGAUGGAUUCUACAAGGAGGCGUGUAUUGAAGAAAGCAUUUAAUCUCAUAGAUAAACAUAAUUGUGGAUUUAUUGACAAAGAGCAAUGUGUUCAACUGUUUCAAGAACUAAAUAAAUACAGGACUUUGCCUAAUAUAUCUGUGGAAGAAUUUGAGUUGAUUUUUUAUGAGCUGGAUGAUAGUCAAGACUUCAAGAUCAACUUGGACGAAUUUGCUGACCUUUGCAAUGCCAUUGCUCUAAAAUUCCGGAAGGAAGAUUCUCCACCUUGCUUUGAAAAAUGUCCAUUCUACCAUUCACCCUUCUCUGAAAAAUUGAAAGGCUAUGUACGGAGUCCCAUAUUUGGAUACAUUGUAUCCUUCAUGCUUGUGCUGAAUCUGUUGGCUGUUAUUGUUGAAACAACGCUUGAUAUUGAAAACAAUUCUGCUCAAAAGGUGUGGCAAGAGGUUGAGUUUGUCUUUGGGUGGAUAUAUGUAUUUGAAAUGGCUCUAAAAGUCUAUGCAUUUGGAUUUAAAAAUUAUUGGAGGGAUGGUCAAAACCGUUUUGAUUUUCUCGUCACAUGGGUAAUAGUUAUUGGAGAAACCUUAAUUUUUGUGUCCCCUGAAGGACUAGCAUUUCUUUCCAAUGGAGAAUGGAUUCGCUACCUUCUCCUCGCAAGAAUGUUAAGGUUGAUAAGGCUACUGAUGCAUGUUCAGCGUUACCGUGCCUUCAUUGCCACUUUCAUAGCCCUUAUACCAAGCUUGAUGCCAUACCUUGGGACCAUAUUUUGUGUCCUUUGUAUUUAUUGUUCUCUUGGUGUGCAGAUCUUUGGUGGAAUUGUCAAUGAUGGAAAUGCCAGUUUGGAAGGAACAGAUCUUGCUGAUUAUGACUAUUUACUUUUCAAUUUCAACGACUAUCCAAAUGGGAUGGUGACACUUUUUAAUCUACUAGUUACAGGAAAUUGGCAAAUAUGGAUGGAGAGCUACAAGGAAUUAACCGGAACUUCAUGGACACUCGCUUAUUUUUUCAGCUUUUACUUAAUAACGGUGUUACUGCUCUUGAAUUUGAUUAUAGCUUUUGUCUUGGAGGCAUUCUUUGCUGAGAUGGAUCUUGAGUCAUCAGAAAACUGUAAUGAGCAGGACAAGGAAGUGGAUGGAGGAAAGGGGCGUCGACGAUCUGUGGGCACAAAAUCACAAAGCCAAAGGGUUGAUGCUCUUCUUCAUCAUAUGUUGAGUGCAGAGCUCGAUCGCCCAGAGUCUUCUAAUCCAUAGAACCUUCUCAUGGUUAGGCAUUAACUUGGCAUAGGUGGAUGAAAAUUGUUGUGUUUGCAGCAAGAAUACAACUCGGUAAAGGAAAGCAAAGAGGUGUCUCUUGAGCGGGGAAAUGCUUUGUGUUAAGGCUUUUGAGUUUAAGAUUGGAUAACAUAGUUUAACAGGAUGCAACUUGACCUGGAUGGGACACAACCGGAGGGCGCGGAUGGGAUACAGCCUGAGCGCUUAUUGUAGUUCCGGACUUUGUUACAGUCUUGUUAUUGAAGUACCUGAGAAGCUUUGUUGUAAUGCUUGAACUUUGUUAGUAAAGUGGUCCGGAUUUGGUAUUGGGGACUUUGUUAAACUAGGUUGAUUACUAUUGGUGUUGUUUGGUUAUUGAAGUUCUAGAUUUGGUGUUAUUAGGUAUUUUUGUUAUUUUCUUUAAGAUUUGGUGUAUUUUUGUUGUUAUUGAAGCUCCAGAUUUGUUAUUAUAGACUUUGUUAUUGACGUUUGAGAGGUUGGGGUGACAAAUAUUUUGGUUAUUGAAGUUACAAUGUUUGUGUUAUUA